rnacentral:rRNA from 1 species
GCACAAGCGGUGGAGCAUGUGGUUAAUCGAAGCAACGCGAAGAACCUUACCAGGUCUUGACAUCCCUGACAACCAAGAGAUUGGGCGUUCCCCGUCGGGGGACAGGGUGACAGGUGGUGCAUGGUUGUCGUCAGCUCGUGUCGUGAGAUGUUGGGUUAAGUCCCGCAACGAGCGCAACCCUCGCCUCUAGUUGCCAGCAUUCGGUUGGGCACUCUAGAGGGACUGCCGGCGACAAGUCGGAGGAAGGUGGGAUGACGUCAAAUCAUCAUGCCCCUUAUGACCUGGGCUACACACGUGCUACAAUGGGCGGUACAAAGGGCUGCGAACCCGCGAGGGGGAGCGAAUCCCAAAAAGCCGCUCUCAGUUCGGAUUGCAGGCUGCAACUCGCCUGCAUGAAGCCGGAAUCGCUAGUAAUCGCGGAUCAGCAUGCCGCGGUGAAUACGUUCCCGGGCCUU